rnacentral:rRNA from 1 species
GCAUGCUUACAACAUAGCGUUAAUGCACCAGAUCCAAUUAGAAAUUUGCAAUUAAACGCGUUCGGGCUAGAGUAGUAAUAGGAUGGGUGAUCGCCCGAGAAGUCCUAGUAUUUUACAUGCC